rnacentral:rRNA from 1 species
GAGACAGCAGUCGCCGCGGGAAUACGAAGGGUGCAAGCGUUACUCGGAAUUACUGGGCGUAAAGCGUGCGUAGGUGGUGGUUUAAGUCCGUUGUGAAAGCCCUGGGCUCAACCUGGGAAUUGCAGUGGAUACUGGGUCACUAGAGUGUGGUAGAGGAUAGUGGAAUUUCCGGUGUAGCAGUGAAAUGCGUAGAGAUCGGAAGGAACAUCUGUGGCGAAGGCGACUAUCUGGGCCAACACUGACACUGAGGCACGAAAGCGUGGGGAGCAAACAGGAUUAGAUACCCCGGUAGUCCCUGUCUCUUAUAC